GUACUGUGAAGGAAAGGUGAAAAGAACCCCUGGCGGGGAGAGAAAUAGAACCUGAAACCUUGUGCCUACAAGCACAUAGAGCGCGUCAAUGCGUGAUAUGGUACCUUUUGUAGAAUGGUCCGGCGAGUGAAUGUCACUGGCAAGGUUAAGCUCUUCAGGAGUGCAGCCGAAGCGAAAGCGAGUCUGAAAUGGGCGUAUUUAGUCAGUGGUAUUCGACCCGAAACCGGGUGACCUAGCCAUGAGCAGGCUGAAGUGGAGGUAAAACUCCAUGGAGGGCCGAACCCACUCCCGUUGAAAUGGUAGGGGAUGACUUGUGGCUAGCGGAGAAAUUCCAAUCGAACCCGGAGAUAGCUGGUUCUCUCCGAAAUAGCUUUAGGGCUAGCCUCAAUUAACAUUACCGCAGGUAAAGCACUGAAUGAGCUAGGGGGCGAAAGCUUACUGAACUCUAUCAAACUCAGAAUGGCGGAUAAUGAAUGAUUGGGAGUCACACUACGUGAGAUAAGUUUCGUGGUGGAAAGGGAAACAGCCCAGACCCACAGCUAAGGUCCCAAAGUACAGUUAAGUGGAAAAGGAUGUGAAAUUGCGCAGACAACCAGGAUGUUGGCUCAGAAGCAGCCACUCAUUCAAAGAGUGCGUAAUAGCUCACUGGUCGAGUGAUUUUGCGCCGAAAAUUUAACGGGGCUAAACUGUACACCGAAGCUUGGGAAUAUACAUUUGUAUGUUGGUAGGAGAGCGUUGUGUAAGGGGUGAAGUCGUAGCGAAAGCGGCGGUGGACUUUACACAAGUGAGAAUGCCGGAAUGAGUAGCGAGAAUUAUGUGAGAAUCAUAAUGGCCGAAAGACUAAGGUUUUAGAAGGAAGGUUCGUCCGCUUCUAGUUAGCCGGGAGCUAAGGCGAGGCCGAGAGGCGUAGUCGAUGCACAUACGGUUGAGAUUCCGUAGCUACCUUGCAUUUAAGCGAAGGGACACAUUUGAAGGGCAUGACCCGGGCGUUGGUUGACCCGGGCGUAAGGGACCGAAAAUAAGUAGGGAAGCAUGCUUGGAUGGUGGCGAGAAAAGCUUCGUGUAUAUAAGCAGGGUACCCGUACUGCAAACCGACACAGGUAGUCAGGAAGAGGAUUCUAAGGCCAUCGGGAGAAGCGUUGUUAAGGAACUCGGCAAAUUGACCCCGUAACUUCGGAAUAAGGGGUGCUCACGCGAGUGAGCCGCAGUGAAUAGGUCCAGGCAACUGUUUAUCAAAAACACAGCUCUCUGCUAAAUCGUAAGAUGAUGUAUAGGGGGUGACGCCUGCCCGGUGCUGGAAGGUUAAGAGGAGUGCUUAGCAAUAGCGAAGGUAUGAAUUGAAGCCCCAGUAAACGGCGGCCGUAACUAUAACGGUCCUAAGGUAGCGAAAUUCCUUGUCGGGUAAGUUCC
rnacentral:rRNA from 1 species